rnacentral:sRNA from 1 species
UUCGACUCGAGCGAAGCGAGAGAACGUUGCGCCAGCAACGGCCCGCAGGGCGAGCCACGCAGUGGCGAGUCAUCCUCUAUCACCGGCAG